rnacentral:rRNA from 1 species
GACGACGGCUGCCGGCGUGCCUAAUACAUGCAAGUCGAGCGAAGUUUUUCUGGUGCUUGCACUAGAAAAACUUAGCGGCGAACGGGUGAGUAACACGUAAAGAACCUGCCUCAUAGACUGGGACAACUUAUUGGAAACGAUAGCUAAUACCGGAUAACAGUAUUUCUCGCAUGAGAGAUAUUUAAAAGUUGGUUAUGCUAACACUAUGAGAUGACUUUGCGGUGCAUUAGCUAGUUGGUGGGGUAAAGGCCCACCAAGGCGACGAUGCAUAGCCGACCUGAGAGGGUGAUCGGCCACACUGGGACUGAGACACGGCCCAGACUCCUACGGGAGGCAGCAGUAGGGAAUCUUCCGCAGUGGGCGAAAGCCUGACGGAGCAACGCCGCGUGAGUGAAGAAGGAUUUCGGUUCGUAAAGCUCUGUUGUUAGGGAAGAAUGGAUAUGUAGUAACUAUACAUGUAAGAGACGGUACCUAACCAGAAAGCCACGGC